AUGGAUGGAUGCUUCAAGUUCCUCUUCAUUUCAAAUAUUUUCUUACAAAUGAAUCGUAUGCAUCCGCUCGUCUCGGCCAAUUUCGACUUGCACCAACCGACUUUUUAUCCCGCCGAGCCGUUGAGGGAAAAAGACGUGCUGCGGACACUGCGCGAGGAUCACUUGACCAACUGGAGCUGGUUGGACGAGAAGGAGCCGCCGGGCCCCAACAUGGUGGCCAUUCGCCGCGGCCACGACCCCCAGACCCGCUCUUGGAUCGUCUUCCGCACGACGAAGCGCGGUACCACCCUCUACAAGGAGACAUUCACCAACGAGGACGCUGCCAUGUCCUUCUUCCUCGAUCGGGUCCGCCUGAUCUCCAUCUGCGUCGAGCCCGUCACUCCGCAUAUAGUUGACAGCGACGAGAUUUACGAUAUUUUCGACCAACAGCGUGCUCAGCAGGCUAAAAAUGAAUAGGCUACAAUAGCUACCGGAAAGGUAACUGUCAGAUUCUCCCAUAAGAUCGCGUAUAGUUAAAUUUUCGAAGCGGACUUGGAGUCGAUUCCCCGCGAAAUUUGAAACGGCAGGCUGCGCGGGGAUUUCAAGAAUCGGAGCAAAGAUGGCCGACUGCUGCCCUUCUGCAGGACGAUAAUAAAGUCGAUACCACCCGCGCCCGAAUAGGCCUGGCGGUCCCCGCUGAAUUUUGACCCGAGGGAUCGGGCUUACGGAAUCAUAUAUUGUGAUAUCCAAAGGGAAAAAUGGACGGGGGAAAAAGGAAAGAGACACAAUCCGUGGAGAAAAUUACCAGCUUAGAAACAGUUAUAUUUCUCCUAUUUUCAACGAAGUUUUUCAUGAAAUUUUUGUUUAAUAGUAGUUCCUUCAAGCAUAAAAAUUGACGUCUUUAGGUAAUCAAUUGCACUUAUCGUUUGUACAUUUGUUCUCAAUUAAAUCCGAAGGAGCUAAAAUUAUUCGGACUUGAGCCCCGGUACGCAUUUAUUCUUAUGGUUCUCAAGGUCCAUGGCUCAAUGCACAUAGUUCCUUUUGAUUUAAAUUCGUCGAAUUAUGAGUAGCUAGUUGGUAAGGUUCUUGCUUACGAUAAAACUAUAGUAGGUAUUAAGGCAGUAGAGCUCUAAAAGUGGCGUCACAUGGGGUCAAGUGACCGUCCAUUGCCCUCAAAGAUUGUCGGGCCGACAAGCUUUGAGGGUGACGAGACCCCACGUGACGCCAAUUUGAGAAUUAUACAUUGAUCAUCUGAAACGGGCUUUAAUAAUAGCCAUCUGGUACCCCCAUGGCCGGAAAAAUAGAAAGAUCGCGCGGCGGGCCCGCCCCGCGCCUUUCGCGCCCUUUGAAAGAUCGAUUAUCCCUUUCGUCCCGUCGGGAGAUUCGUGGUUUUUCAUUAUUUCCAGGUCCUUCUUUUUUCAGUCAGCUUAUAAUUUGACUGCCCGAGACGUUCGUCGUCAUGGAAAUCGCCGUGAGAGAUGGAUUUACGGCGGAAGCGUACUUCAAAAUGUUUCUUAGUAGAGAAAGUAUUCACACAAUGGGAAGUUCGGAGAUAAGCUUUUAAACAAGGUAUUAACAAAUUGAUGACCAAAAGGCGAAGCCACGGAUCUUCCUUUGCGACGUUGCAGAGGCAGACUUCCUGCCAUACUCAACAUAAUUUAUUUAAAACCAUCUUAAAUUUUCUUCUCCCUCGGCAGAAUAUUCUAUUAAUAUUUCAAGCUAUAAAGCAACAAGGCAGAUGUUUCUUUCUCCUCUAUAAAAAAUUGAAAAAAUGAGUAAACCAAAAGCAGGAAAAAAUCCACAACCAUUCGAUCCUAGGAUUGCAGGCUCGCGGUGUGAACACCAAUAGGCAACAAGGAUAUCGAUCGCUCGACGUCGAGCUCGGGAGAUCGAAAUCCUAACCCGAGCGAGAUUAACUCCUAACCGUGGUAAUGACGUUUUUCAUGAAUAAAUUUAACCUUUCCGCUCAUGGAAGAGGGAAUAAUUUACUUGAGUCAAAUUGCACAACAAAUGCCACUAUGACAGUCUCAGUAAUUUGAAAAUAUGGCACAUCAAUCUUGACUCUCAUUUCAAGCUGUACACGCUUUGAACAACUUAGUGUGGGAGAGAAACAAUGCUUGAUUGAGUAGUCUGCUAAAGCCGUUGUAGAGCGCAAUUUGACUCACGUAGGGAUUUGUUUUUCUAGUGACCGGGUAAUUUAAAGUUCCCGUAACCAAUGGACAAUAAAAACGUUAAUAUCUUAGAUAGAAGUUGAUUUUGGUAGUUUUCAUUGCGCGAAUCGUGUUCUACGUGAAAUUUUGGUGAAGAAUCAUGUAUUAGAGUGCUUAAAUUUGUAUUUUGUGUAAUGGUUAAUUAAAUUUUAAAAAAAAACCCAAAAUAUAGAGCGCUUUCCUUACUUUUCUCAGAAAAAAAAUUUAUCGGGAGAAACGAGGCAACGUUCGAAUGCUCAUACGGCGUCGAAACACAACAUGGGCCUUUUAAGCCCCGUUGUUCGAUGCCGCGAUUAUCCUAACGCGAGUUCGAAUAAUCGCACCAAACACGGUGCGGUCGAUGUCACACUCAUAUCAGCGCCUGCAAGACUGUAAGAAUACUUCACGCAUUGCGCCAAACAGUGCGGUCGGCGUCGAACGCAUAUUAGCGCCUACAAGACUGCAUGAAUACUUCUCGCAUUGCACCAAACGCAAUGCGAGGGUUGUUUGCGAUAUCUGCUCGACUGCGGAUAUGGGCACAUCGCCGCUGACUGAAUUGAAGGCGCAUCACACUGUGAAGAUGACUCGACACUUUUCCGACACACUCGACCCCUUUCCUGACUUGCGCGACGCUAAAAUCGUCGCAAAACUAGGACCACGCGUCAUUUCCUUUAGACGGUCCCUGCCCAGUUUUUACCACAAUUAAAGGGUAAUUAUGUACCUUAAUUGCAACGAUUCAGAAACUCCGACGAUGUUUAAGCAAUGCAGCGAUUCUGAAACUUAAUUCGCGUUAAAUUAAUUGUGGUUCAAUAAAAAGAAAACAGAACAAACGAAAAUAUCGCGAUUUUAUUUUUAAUAUAAUUUUGCCAUUGUUGCAGGAAUUCGUGCUUUUCAAACAAUUGAAAAUUUGAGGAGCUCUGCUCUAUUUUCGCUGAUCUAAAGUCCUGCCAUCCGGAUGAAUUUAUGAGGAUUGGAAAAUCAAAAUUUCGUUGGCGCUAUCAGGUGGUCCGAAAAUUAUGAGCAACUAUUCCGCUCAUUCAACCGGAAUCAAGUGGCCUAGAAGAAAAAAUGUAUUCACUCUAAAAAAAAAUAAUAACAUUUAGGAGAAUUUCUUCAUAAAAGUUCUAAAAACGAAUGCAUUUAGGCUCUUUUACAGUGAUCAUCUCCAUGCAUAUCAUUAACAUUUAAUAGUUGAUGGCGCUUCCAGACAGGCUUUGAAUUCCCAGUCUUCAAUAAAAAUGGGAUCUCAUUUUGAGCCGAUCUAUUCAUGAUAAUCCGAACGUAUGAGUAUCGGAGUGGACGUAUGUAUGAUAAAAGAAAGAAGAGACGGGUGGAAAAGAAGGAAUGUGCUCGUUAGUUUUUAUAUUUUAUAUAAGUUUUUUUAGUUCCUAUUCAUUUAAUGUCCAUUCCCAUCUUUCCAUUAUGCCAAAAAGAAUCACGUCCAUGUAAUCAAAGAAAUGGACAUCAAAGUAUGGCAAAAUAAACUGUAUCAAUCUGAGGAUUUGAGUAUUUGCACAUACCUGGCAAUCCAAAAGUCCUGCAUCACUGUCUAAAACCCGGUAGGCUCUUGCCGUUCUACAGGGUGAACCCCUCAAAAUUUCGGGGGUCCAAAAAGUCGUUGCCUUUGACCUAGGAGCACUCGCAGCAUUUUAAAUCUGUAUCUCAACUUGAUCAAAAGUUACAGGUGUGAUGCCUGUUGCCGGUGUUGCGGAACUUUUGGAUCACCCUGUCUAUGAAAAUUUUCGCUUACCCUAAAAUAACCAAGACCGUUAUAAACUGCAUACAAUUUUAUGAGAAGCAGUAUUUAGCAGAGGCAGAAUUUAUAAUAUACGUAAUGUCACCCAAAGUCCCUGAAAAUUUCAAGGAAUAAUAUUCUUGUAUUUCCUCAAAGAUAUAAACAUUUAAUUGAAAGAAUUUUUGCAACUCUCGAAUGUUCAUACGGCGUUCUUCCUUAGCACGGCAGCAUGGAUGGGUUGUCUACUCGGGGGCUGUUUUUGCUUGAAUUUCAUGCGACAUUCUUGCCGUGCCAAGACAAAACGUCGUAUGAGUACUUAGUGUUGAAAAAUUUCUUUCAAUAAAAUAUGGAUUUCCUGGAAAAGUCUUUGAAUUUUUCCGAUAAUUUUUAACAGUCGCAUGCGUGUAUAAGGAACCGACAGAAUUAAAUUAAAGAACAAUGCAAAAUUUCAUACG
rnacentral:lncRNA from 1 species